rnacentral:rRNA from 1 species
ACGGAAGGCAGCAGUGGGGAAUAUUGGGCAAUGGGCGCAAGCCUGACCCAGCAAUGCCGCGUGAAGGAAGAAGGCUUUCGGGUUGUAAACUUCUUUUAAGUGGGACGAUAAUGACGGUACCACUUGGAUAAGCUCCGGCUAACUACGUGCCAGCAGCCGCGGUAAUACGUAGGGAGCAAGCGUUAUCCGGAUUUACUGGGUGUAAAGGGCGUGUAGGCGGGACUGCAAGUCAGAUGUGAAAGCACGAGGCUCAACUUCGUGUCUGCAUUUGAAACUGUAGUUCUUGAGUGUUGGAGAGGCUAACGGAACUCCUAGUGUAGCGGUGAAAUGCGUAGAUAUUAGGAAGAACACCAGUGGCGAAGGCGGUUAGCUGGACAAUAACUGACGCUGAGGCGCGAAAGCGUGGGUAGCAAACAGGAUUAGAUACCCUGGUA